GGUUAAGCGACUAAGCGUACACGGUGGAUGCCCUGGCAGUCAGAGGCGAUGAAGGACGUGCUAAUCUGCGAUAAGCGUCGGUAAGGUGAUAUGAACCGUUAUAACCGGCGAUUUCCGAAUGGGGAAACCCAGUGUGAUUCGUCACACUAUCAUUAACUGAAUCCAUAGGUUAAUGAGGCGAACCGGGGGAACUGAAACAUCUAAGUACCCCGAGGAAAAGAAAUCAACCGAGAUUCCCCCAGUAGCGGCGAGCGAACGGGGAGGAGCCCAGAGCCUGAAUCAGUGUGUGUGUUAGUGGAAGCGUCUGGAAAGGCGCGCGAUACAGGGUGACAGCCCCGUACACAAAAAUGCACAUGCUGUGAGCUCGAUGAGUAG
rnacentral:rRNA from 1 species